GGCAGCAGCCGCGGGAACACCGGCGGCCCGAGUGGUGAUCGUGAUUAUUGGGUCUAAAGGGUCCGUAGCCGGUUUGGUCAGUCCUCCGGGAAAUCUGAUAGCUCAACUAUUAGGCUUUCGGGGGAUACUGCCAGACUUGGAACCGGGAGAGGUAAGAGGUACUACAGGGGUAGGAGUGAAAUCUUGUAAUCCCUGUGGGACCACCUGUGGCGAAGGCGUCUUACCAGAACGGGUUCGACGGUGAGGGACGAAAGCUGGGGGCACGAACCGGAUUAGAUACCCGGGUAGUCCCAGCCGUAAACGAUGCUCGCUAGGUGUCAGGCAUGGCGCGACCGUGUCUGGUGCCGCAGGGAAGCCGUGAAGCGAGCCACCUGGGAAGUACGGCCGCAAGGCUGAAACUUAAAGGAAUUGGCGGGGGAGCACAACAACGGGUGGAGCCCUGCGGUUUAAUUGGACUCAACGCCGGACAACUCACCGGGGGCGACAGCAAUAUGUAGGCCAAGCUGAAGACUUUGCCUGGAUCGCUGAGGAGUGGUGCAUGG
rnacentral:rRNA from 1 species